CGCGUGUGUGAAGAAGGCCUUCGGGUUGUAAAGCACUUUCAGCUGUGAGGAAGGGCGAGUGGUUAAUACCCGCUUGCUGUGACGUUAACAGCAGAAGAAGGACCGGCUAACUCCGUGCCAGCAGCCGCGGUAAUACGGAGGGUCCGAGCGUUAAUCGGAAUUACUGGGCGUAAAGCGCGCGUAGGUGGUUCAGUCAGUCAGAUGUGAAAGCCCCGGGCUCAACCUGGGAACUGCACCUGAUACUGCUGAGCUAGAGUACGGUAGAGGGUAGUGGAAUUUCCGGUGUAGCGGUGAAGUGCGUAGAGAUCGGAAGGAACACCAGUGGCGAAGGCGACUACCUGGACCGAUACUGACACUGAGGUGCGAAAGCGUGGGUAGCAAACAGGAUUAGAUACCCUGGUAGUCCACGCCGUAAACGAUGUCAACUAGCCGUUGGGGGACUUGAUCCUUUAGUGGCGAAGCU
rnacentral:rRNA from 1 species